UUUGAAAAAUGCGAACUAGAACUACAUGAGACACUAUCUCCAUCGUUACGAACCUUACGCUUUCUACCAAGCUUAAUCGGAAUAAGACCUCACAAACACUCACAAGUGAUAUAGGGCUUGAAAGAAAGUCUAGGUUUGGGUUCGGGUUAACUGCUCUAAUAAGGAGAGUCAGCUACUUGGAUUAACAAGAGUGAUCAAAAUGUAAAGAAAAUCCAAGUAUUUUAGGGUAUCCAUGAGUUCAAAUUUGAUGCAGACAUGAUAAUUAAAGAUCAGAUUCAGGUUCAAAUUAAUAAGG
rnacentral:sRNA from 1 species